AGGUUGGAAGGGCUAAAAGUGAGUUUAGAGGAGUAGGAAAGAUUUUAGCGUUGUUCGGUGCGAAAUAGAAUCGAAACAACGCGAAAAUCUGAAGUCUGGAACUUGUAUCGGUACAACAUCAAUACUGUACCGGUGCAUUAUGGUAAAUCGAAGGGAAGCUGCUCUUGAGUUUGAGAAAAACUGGUUUUGUACCGGUACAAAAUGGUCUGUACCGGUACAAAUACAGUUAACCCGAGAAAG
rnacentral:lncRNA from 1 species